AGGCCCCCCCCCCCCACCUAUUGCGCCCCUCCACAAGACCCCGUGGAAAAGACCAUGCUAAUACGAGUAAUAAGAGGGCCUAACCCCCUCUCCUUGCACAAGCGUAAGACGAAACGGACCCACCCCCGCCCCUCAACCGGCCCCACCCCCGAGGAUCCCGAAUGAAAACAAAACAACAAGAAGCCCAUUCCCCCUAGGCCGUUACCCCCACACCGGAGUGCCCACAAGGACAGACCAAAAGGGAGAAAAGGAACUCAGCAAGCACAAGCCUCGCCUGUUUACCAAAAACACCGCCUCUUGCAACACUAAAAAUAAGAGGUCCCGCCUGCCCCGUGACAGUACGUUUAACGGCCGCGGUAUUUUAACCGUGCAAAGGUAGCGCAAUCACUUGUCUCUUAAAUAGGGACCCGUAUGAAAGGCAUAACGAGGGCUUAUCUGUCUCUUCUCCCCCGUCAAUGAAACUGAUCUCCCCGUGCAGAAGCGGGGAUUAGAACAUAAGACGAGAAGACCCUAUGGAACUUUAGAUACAAGACAGCCCCUGUAACCCACCCCCCCCCCGGGGGGGGACAAACCAACAAGGCCCCCUGUUCUGCUAUCUUCGGUUGGGGCGACCGCGGGGUAACACAAAACCCCCACGUGGCGAGGGCACAGCCCCCAGACCCGAGAGCAACAACUCUAGGCCACAGAAUAUCUGACCAGCAAGACCCGGCAAGACCGAGCAACGAACCAAGCUACCCUAGGGAUAACAGCGCAAUCCCCUUCUAGAGCCCGUAUCGCCAAGGGGGUUUACGACCUCGAUGUUGGAUCAGGACAUCCUAAAAGUGCAACCGCUAUUAAGGGUUCGUUUGUUCAACGAUUAAAGUCCUACGUGAUCUGAGUUCAGACCGGAGUAAUCCAGGUCAGUUUCUAUCUAUGAUGUGACCUUUUCUAGUACGAAAGGACCGAAAAGAAGAGGCCCCUGUUAAAAACACACCUCCCCCUCCCCCAUGAAGCCAACUAAACCGGGCAUAGAGGGCACACUCCCACUUGCCCAAGAAAAAGGC
rnacentral:rRNA from 1 species